AUGCCGUGGCCAGUGCCUCCCGCUGCAUCUGGCUUGGCCCUGGCCAACCCACAGGCCCAGAAGCUCCUGACACAGAUGACCCGGCUGGAUGGAGACCUGGGACAGAUAGAGAGGCAGGUGCUGGCCUGGGCACGGGCCCAGCUGAGCCGCACCACGCCCCUGGAGGACCUGGAGGGCCACAUCCACAGCCACGAGGUGGGUGAGCGGCGGAAAGAGGCGGCUGCGAUGAGAAGCGGCCCGGCCCUGGUGCUCACACUUGAGGGAGGUGAGGCAAGCGCAGGAGCAGUGGCUGGGACGGAGGCGGAGAAGGGUGUGGACAGACCCGGGCUCAGACAAGCUGGUUCCCCUCCUGGCUCCUCUACUGACCAGCUCUGUGAUCUUAGACUACAUAACUUUCUGGGCCUUGGUUUCCUCAUCCCUGAAGCAGAUGUAAUAAUGCCCAGCUCACCUGAUCAUUCAGGAAGGUUCCAGUAGGGCCCAAUGUCAACAACUCCAGGAGGUAUUCUGGCGAAGCUCCUGAAAUAGCAAGGAAGCCUGGAGAAUCUUAGGAAGAAAUGUCCCCUGGCUGCAAGGGGGGGCCUUCCUGGGGAGGUUGCAGCAUUGUGUAAACUCCUUACCCAAGAACAGCAAGCUCUCUGCCACGUGGACUCAACACUCCCAAAAGUGCUCAAAGUGAAACCCACACCGGGCCACAGUCUGGGUUAUCCUUCCAAACUAGUUUCUUUUAUUUUCUUGAGACAAAGUCUCUCUGCAUCACCCAGGCUGGAGUGCAGUGGCGCUAUCUCGGCUCACUGCAACUUCUGCCUCCCAGGUUCAAGUAAUUCUCCUGCCUCAAUCUCCGGAGUAGCUGGGAUUACAGGUGCACACCACCAUGCCCAACUAAUUUUUGUAUUUUUAGUAGAGACGGGGUUUCACCAUGUUGGCCAGGCUGAUGUCGAACUCCUGACCUCAAGUAAUCCACCCAUCUUGGCCUCCCUGAGUGCUGGGAUUACAGGCAUGAGCCACUGCGCCUGGUCUGUUUCUUGAGAUGGGGUCUCACUUUGUCACCCAGGCUGGAGUGCAGUGGUGUGCAGUGGUAUAAUCUCAGCUCACUGCAACCUCCACCUCCCAGGCUUGAGUGAUCCUCCCACCUCGGCCUCCCAAGUAGCUGGGACCACAGGUGUAACACUGAGCCCAGCUAAUUUUUUUGGUAGAGAUGGGGUUUUGCCAUGUUGCCCAGCUCAUGUGACAGUGAGCUGUAGACGAAUGUUUGGAGUCAUUGGAUGAUUACUAGAAAAUGAGCCAUGAAAUGGGAUGAGAACAUGAGACAGUGUAGAAACUGGGAACAUAAAUGGCUGCAGGUCUGAGAACGUAACAUGACAUUACUGGGUAGAGGCAGAACAUUCUAGGAGAACACUGAGAAUGGGAGUUCAGGGUGUGGGAAAUCCAGGGGAGUUCACUCAGGGCUCCAGUAAUUGGUUUUGUGUCCUGAAGGGGCAGUCACCCAGCUGAAUCAGAGUCAGGCUGACACUGACCCAGAUCCCUGUGACCAGGACUCUCAGCAAUGACACAGAGGUGACCUGGGGGAGCAGUGGUCUUAGGAUGGGAGGAGGAAGAGCCCCCAUGUGGGACACGUGGACACAGGAAGAGGUGCAGGUGCUGGCCUGUGAACCUGGUCUUCACCUGAGGGAGGGGCAAGUGGAGGGCAGGUACCCAGAUGAUGGUGGACAGUGGCCACUCUUGUAACUCCUUGAACUUCUUUUCCUUUCUUUCCCCUCUGGGAUGAGAAGGCCAUGACAAGGGUAUUUUUUCCCUUGUUUCCCAAGACUGCCUGAAUUUCAGAUUGAUGUUUUGUACAUGGGAGUGGCUGUGCCUUGACCUGGUUGCUGUUGAAGGAAUAUUGGAAAGGUUGUGAAGCCAGAACUGUAACUUUCUGUGAUAGAAACAGCCUGGCCUGUGUCCCUACCCACGUCCCAGCAUCCACAGGACAACACUCAUCAUGAGCUAAGGGGGCAGGUGUGGGCCACAGUGAUACACAUACUGGGCCACUUAGGCAAACCUGUUGUUUUCCUCUCCUGUCAGGACCACAAAACACCCAGCCACGUGGUUAGCAUAUGACUAANNNNNNNNNNNNNNNNNNNNNNNNNCAUCCUUCCUGCACAAAUGAAGGGCACCGUCACCUGCCUCCCUCCAGCACCUGAAGUCUUUCUUGCUGGGACAGAGGGUAUUGGAGCUGCACUUGUCCCAGCCCCGGAGAAGAAGCUAUGCUUUAAAGAAGCAUUCCAAGUGUUUUUACGGAAUUUUUGUCAGUGUGUGAUCAUAGUUUGUGGUUCUAUAGGAAAAUGUGUGAAACAUUAUCUGCCCCCAAAUCCCAGUUGUAUAUUAUAUCAGGGUUUCUCAACCGUUUUUUUUCAUUAUUAUUCUCCUAAAGAGCCUUUUAAGAAAUCUUUUCUUUAUUUUCCCCCCACCUCAUCCCCAUAAAAUUUUAUUUACUUAUUUAUUUUGAUAGAGAUUUAUCUGUUUGUAUAGAGACAGGGUCUCACUAUGUUGCCCAGGCUGGUCUGGAACUACUGGGGUCAAGCAAUUCUCCUGGCUCAGCCUCCCAAAGUGCUGGAAUGACAGGUGUGAGCCACCACACCUGGCCCCCACAAAAGUUUUAUACCACAGAUAUGCUGUAUACAGCUUAGGUGCUGUAUGUGGAUCUGUACUUCAUGCAUAAGAAGAGUUAUUUUUCUGCCAUUAAGAACCAAUUUUCACCCCCCUGGGAACCGCUUCACCCUGUUGAGAAUGUGUGCCCAUGCCUUUCCUUCCCUCUGGGACCGAGUGGCAACCACACAGCUCUAUUUUAUUUUAUUUUUGAGGUGGAGUCUCUCUUUGUCACCCAGGCUAGAAUGCAGUGGACCAAUCUCGGCCCACUGCAACCUCCACAUCCUGGGUUCAAGCGAUUCUCCUGCCUCAGCCUCCUGAGCAGCUGGGAUUACAGGCGUGCGCCACCACGUCUGGCUAAUUUUGGUAUUUUUAGUAGAGACAGGGUUUCACCAUGUUGGCCAGGCUGAUCUCGAACUCCUGACCUCAAGUGAUCCGCCAGCCUCGGCCUCCCAAAGUGCUGGGAUUACAGGUGUGAGCCACUGCGCCCUGCCAGCUCUGUCUAGUUGAGAGGUGCAGUGCCUCUCCUGUGGGCAGGAGUGCUGUGGGACCUCCCGCCCCUGCCGCCUGCCCGAG
rnacentral:lncRNA from 1 species